AAUUUUAUUUAAAUGCUCAAUGGAAUUCACCAUGGAAACCUUCUGGGCCUAGAAAUUUCCUUUUUGGGAGCUUUUAAAUUAUAGUUGAAUAUCUUUAUUAGUUACAGGACGUAAUAAGUAGUAUUUUCAUUAAAUAUUUUUCCACACUUUCUCAUACAUUUGAGCACUCAAUAAAUAUUUAAUCAACUGUUUUUCUCAGUGGAUUUUGCAAAGACCCUUUCUAAAUUAAAAGGGACAUCACAAUAACCAAUCAUAUAAACUAAUUCUUAGUAAAAUAAAAUGCUCUCGUCUCCUGUGCAAAGUUCUUGUUCUGUUUUUUGUAGUUUCUAACAGCUUUGAUAUUUUAGGCAAGUCAGAACUUGCCUAAACAAAUGCUUCAUUAACAAACCUUUUUUAUGUGUGAUUACUCUGGUAUUUUCUACUCUAUUCUAUAUUAUUUUUAAAAAAUACUGGUUGCAACUCAUUAAAUUGAUUUCAGGACCCACUAAUGGGCUACAACCUGCAAUUUGAAAAACAGUGAUUUAAAUAUUCUCUCAUGUCCCUUCUACUUCAGAUAUUUGCUACUAAAGGUGUCUACUGCUUUAUUCUCUUGACUACAACACAAAGCAUAUUAGACACCUACAGCACUGUUAUUUUACAAUUUAUUUUCAAAUCACUUCCAAAGUCGAUUUAAGAUAGUUUACAAUAAAUGCAGAGUUAUGUUUUUAAGGGAAAAGGGAAAAAUGAGAAAUGAUGGAGAAAGUACUUUUCCACUUUUCAGGAAUUAAAAUAGUCAUGGAAAGAAAAAUAAAGUAUCAGGAAAUACAGGUAUCAAGUCAUUUAGUCUAAAUUACUUCUCACUGUACUUUGUUAAAAGGAGAUCAGAAUUUCAAAGACCAGAAGAGGUUGCUGAGAGUGGAAUUGUCCAGCCAUUGCAGCCCUCCUUCCACGGGAGAAAAGAAAGAGGUCUUGGACAAAUGUGGGAUUCCUGUGGUCUGGAAGUAAAUCUGAGGUGGGGUCUUGCUAUGUCACCCAGGCUGGAGUGCAGUGACUAUUCACAGGCAUGAUCAUCGCACACUACAGUGUUAAACUCUGGGCUUAAGCCAUCCUCCUGCCUCAGUCUCUCAAGUAGCUGGGACCACAGGCACAUGCCACCAUGCCUGGCUUGUACUUGAUUUUUAAAGUUCUUGGCAAUGUGUUUCUUAACAAUUAUCUUUGAAAAAUUGUCUUUUGUUGGCAUGUUCUUCUCAUGCAAUUGGAGACAGUUCUUCCUGCUAGUUUCACAUUUUACCUUUUUGGUGGGUUCUACUUGCCCAUUCCACACUGAUAGGAGCAUUUUUUUCCCCCUUUCUUUCCUUUUAUUAUUUUUAUUUUUUAACUUCCUGUGUUAGGCACCAAACCAUACUGCUCUGCCCCUGUUACCAAGAACUUAUGUUGCCAGUAUAAAUAAGAUCACCUGCUUUGUGCAUUGCCGUUCAGAGUGGCAGGGAGUUCAAGAUCCAGUGGUUUCGGGGUAGCACUCCAGGCUGGUAUACAUGGCCUUUUGGACCAUUCAAGUCUACCAGCAGUAAGGAAGAUUAAAGAAAUUGGCAGGAUCUUCAGUGUCAGCCAAUAUUAUCAGCAACUGCUGCACAUUCCGGAAGAACAUCAACACCCCUACUUUGACCCACACGAAUCAAUCGUCCUUGCUGCACCAGUUCUUCUGUAGCACCUGGAAGUGCUGCCAAACAAGGGGCUGACUGGCCAGGGUUGGCUCUUCCAGCCAGCAUUGUUUGUCCUGGGUCUCCAGAAACUGUCUCAUCAGCACUGAAUCUGCAAAUAUGAGUAACAUACACCUGGACAGAGCCCUGGAGGGGGCAGAGAGGUUUUCAGGGAUCAGCAGACGCGCUGAAAAACGGAUCGUCUUGCUGCAGGUGUGGUGGCUGCCAAGGCAGGCAGAGCCCUUUGGAUAGAGCCACAUCUGAGAUGAAAGAAUUAAGGCCCAGGGAAUUUAAUUGACAUCCAGUUACCUGUUCCCCUUCUGGAAAAUUCUUGCUGUGAAAAUUUGACAUUUGAUUAGCCAUUGGUGAGACUUCAGCAGUCCUGGGGAAACUUCAGUCUUCAUUCCAAGGACUCCCUCCCUCUGGAGCCCCCUGGACUGCAGGCGUCUCUUGGAUGCGGAUGUUCCCCCUACACAAGAGGCUCAGACACAGAACAAAUGCAUGCACUGGUGUUAAAUGCAGAGAAGAGAAGGUGUUAUCUCCUGAAAUGGAUUCUGCUUUCUUCGGGGUUAGAAGGCCUCCUUUUUGAACUGACCUCAACCCUGCUGAUUUUGUCUCCUUUCCUGGCCAUGAGGAUCAGAAAUCAGCAAUGAUUUCAUAAGUAACUUCUCAUGAAACCACAUACCGCAGCGUGAGUCACACAUGUAGCUCUGUGCACCUGUAGGCGUAUAUGCCAUUCUUUUUAAAUCUGCCAGGAAUGUGAUGAUCAACUGGACCCAGUUUGCCUGGGAUUUUCCUUAUUUGUACUGAAAGUCUUGUAUCCUGGGAAAUCCCUCACUUCCAGGCAUACUGGUGUGAUUGACCAUCCCACCCAGGAAAUGAGGAAGAAGCAAGGGGUCCUUAAUGUGUUGUCCCUACCUGAAUCUGCCCCUUUCCCUCUCUGUGAAAGUAGGGAACCUCAAACCCUUGUGGGGCCUGAUGCUCCCACCCAGCUGCAUGGGGAGGACAUUUAUGUCAACUUGAGCAGAAAGUAGGGGAUCUAAAUUUAUCUAUUGAAAUGUGUUGCUACAUCUCCAAACUAAGAUGUCUGUAUCUGCGUGUGCAUUAAAACACAUAUAAUUACACA